CUGCAGAGGUGCCUUUUGUCUGGCAAGGGGAGCACAGGUGGGGGAUGGGGCUGGCCCCAGCCAGGACAUUGUCUGUGUCACUCAGCAGCAGACUGACUGGCGCCUGCUGCCUGGCCAGCAAUGCUGACCCCUCUGCCUGCCCUAGCCAAUAUUUGAGGUCAGGAGGCAAGUACAGCAUCUGUGGGCAGACGACAGGGCCAAUGGGGUUCUCCUCCAGGCCUUCUGCUGCCACUCUGCUUCCUGAAGCCAGGAGGCCCAGUUCAGGUGCUCCGCCAGGGCUCCCGUGGUCCUGCCUGCAGGGGCGAGGUAGCAGGACCCCCUUGUUUAGCCUCUGCUGCAUCCUUAGCUGCAGCAGGGAGCCUGCCAGGCAGGUGUGCGACAGGCAGGACAGCGAUGUCUUCCUGCAUGACAGAAGGGGAAACUGAGGCCCAGAGUGAUGCAGCCCGGGACCUCCCAGGACAAGGUCCAAGCUCUUACCUCAGGUCCCUACACGGGUCAAGAUGGGAGCCGCCUUAGAGAUCUCUAUUCUGCAGAGGAGGAAACUGAGGCACAGACAUGGAUGGAGGGAAUUUGGCCAAGGCCCUUUGGCCUUCUGGGCCAGGACUCCAGCCCCAGCCCAGUGGCAGGAAGAGGGUCUCAUGCCACCCCUCAACCCUGAUAAUCCUGCAUGCACGGCACAGGCCUCGAACCUCCUCUCCCCUGGCCUGGUCCCACCCUAGUGGGCCCGGCAGUGGGGCCUUCCAUCCUGCCUCUGUCACUGCCACAAAAGAACAUCAUGAUGCAUCCCAGGCCUCUGUCCUUCAGGCCAUGGGGGGCUUCCCUGAGCACAGCCACUCACCACAUGCCUGAGUCUGGAUCUCAUGCGAGAACUGGCCUGGACCCCUGGACCAGGAUACAAACUCAUCUGGAAGCAUUAAAACAAUGGAAGCAGGUGAGAGCAGAGAGAUCCCGAGCGCAGGUGAGGUGGGGUCCCUGAGGCGGGCUCAAAAGCUGCUUCCCAAGGCAGGGGGGCCCCUAUGUGCCCUCUGAGAGCACAGCCUGCAGACAGAGUCCAGACGUCUCAGGCAGGCCUUUGAGGCCUUCGUGUCAAAGCCCAGUUCUACCACAUCCUAGGGUUAUACUUUCGGCCUGGUGGGAGUCGCUGGUCCCCAGUUGACAGUGUCAUUGGGAAAGUCCAGUGGUAGACCCCGGCACAGCAGGCGCUCAGCAGUGCAGCAGUAUCAUUGCUUAGCCCCACCUCCCUUUCCAGACUCUGCACCCCUCCUCAGGCUCAGAGCAAGGGCCUGCCCCUGCCCCUCCACCGCCCCCUCCUCACUUACCCCUGCGACUCUGCCCAAGCAAGACCUCCCCCUGGAAUUCAUUCAUUUAUCAACUCAUUAUGCAGCCAGCCAGCCAUCGUUUCUUUUUUAUCCACUUUUUCUGAGGGCCUGCUGUGCGCCAGCUGCUGGAGACAUGAAGACAUCGAAGACCCCAGGCCUUGACCUCCAAGAGCCCCCAGUUUGGUGGAAGAAACAAACAAGGAGACUGCAAAACACACCCUGUGAUGGGGAGGGUUGAGGUGGCCAGUGGGAGAGGCGAGCUGGCAGGGCUCAGUGGUGAGGUGAAGGUGUGGGAGCAGGGACACAGCAUGAAGGAGUAGAUGGCCAGGUUGAGCUUUGCAGGCUCCAGGGGGAGGAUAAAGAGCUGACACCUGGAACGUGCUUGGAACAGCAGGUGCUCGGUCAGUGCAGCCACGACCAUCCCGUCCUGCAUCCCCACCAUGAACUUGGACCUUCUGGAAGGACCUUGCUUAUCCCAGCAUCCACACAUCCUUGACCAGACCUGGUCAACAUUUGCUUACCUCUGCCAGCCUCCUCUCACCCAUUCCUGCAUGUGCCGCACCAAUCUGUGUGGAGCGCCCACUCCAGCCAGGCCCUGCUCUAUCAGCAAACUCAGCAGGCAGAACCCCUGCCCCAUGGCGCUGCUUCAGCGUGGUGAGACAGGAACCGCCUGGCUGCUGGGAUGAGAAGAGACUGGAGAGAGACCACGAUGGAAGCCAGGAGGCCAACGAGGAGUUGGGGUAGUCCUCCAGGGAGACAUGAUGUGGCUUCAGCCCCAGUGGUGAUGGCGGGGUAGAGCCAGCAGGGUUCUGAACUGAGUGGAUGUGAAAUGAGGGAAAGAGGGAUGCUGCGGUCGGCAGAAUCGUGCCUCCCGCAAAGAUGCCCCAUCCUAACCCGUCACCCUUGACAGUGAGACCUCCACCACAAAGGGGACUUUGCAGGCAUGAAGGUUAAGGACCCUGAGAGGAGGAGAUGGCCCUGGACUGUCUGGCGGGCCCAGCAUCAUCACAAGGGUGCUUAUAAGUGGAGGAGGAGGCAGGGGGAGCCGAGCAGAUGUGAGGAUAGAAGCAGAGGUCGGAGGGACGUGCUGUUGGCUUGAGAUGGAGGAGGACCUAUGAGCCAAGGAGCAUGGGCGGCCUCUGGAAGCCAGAAAGGGCAAGGCCUCUUCCCGGAGCCUCCAGCAGAACCCAGCCCCGCUGCCACCUCGACUGCAGAACGGUGACACCGUGUCCGAUUCCCGACCUCCAGAACCGUGAGAUAACACGUGUGCUGUUUUAAGCCACUGCAAUUGUGGUAUUUGUCACAGCAGCCAUAGGAAACUGUACGGGGGUUAAAGAGGACCUGCUGACCUCUGAGCUCACACUGAAGCCUCCUGGAAUGCUGUGGGUUGUGAGCUGGGAUGAGAACGCAGCAUGGAGAUGAAAGACGCAUCCACCCAGGAAGGCCCACUGGCAUCGCAAUCUCAGGGAAGAUUCCCAGGCUGAAAAAAGAGAAAGUGGCUGGGGUGGCACUGAAUGCCCCACGUCAAAGAAAUGGCACCCAAGCCGUCCGUCAGUCCCUCACCUGCCACACAGACAGCACCUUGGACCCAGCAAGAUGUCACUCACCACAUUGAUGCUGUCCACAGGCAUCGCCUUGCUUUUGCAGCUCUGUGUGAGAUUUGUCAGCUUGGUUUGGGUCUGGGGCUGUAUUAGAGCUGUCAGCCUAGGAGCCUACCCUAGUUUUGUGUCUGCACUAUUUCCAAAGCACUGGAAUAAAAGGCAUUUUAACCAA